UCCCUGGUGGCUCAGUUGGUAAAGAAUCUGUCUGCAAUGCAGGAGACCCGGGUUUGAUCCCUGGGUCGGGAA
rnacentral:tRNA from 1 species